rnacentral:RNase_P_RNA from 1 species
CGAGCCACCCGGGGUGAUCGCGGCAGACGACGAUCUGUCGAGGAAAGUCCGGGCUCCACAGGGCAGGGUGGUGGGUAACGCCCACCCGGGGAGACCCGCGGGACAGUGCCACAGAAAACAAACUGCCGAGAAAUCGGUGAGGGUGAAACGGCGAGGCAAGAGCUCACCGCGGUAUCGGUGACGGUGCCGGCACGGCAAACCCCACCCGGAGCAAGGCCAAGAAGACCGUGAGGUCGCGGACGUGUUCGAGGGCUGCCCGCCCGAGCGCCCGGGUAGGCCGCGCAGCUGCAAUGCUGGAGGACGUCGGCAACGGCGUUCACAGAUGGAUGAUCACCGGCCCCCAUGGGGUCACAGAACCCGGCUUACAAGGGUGGCUCGUCCU